rnacentral:tRNA from 16 species
GCCGGCAUAGCUCAGUUGGUAGAGCAACCGCCUUGUAAGCGGUAGGUCCCCAGUUCGAACCCGGGUGCCGGCACCA